GACGAUCAGAUGGCCGAGUUGGUCUAAGGCGCCAGAUUAAGGUUCUGGUCCGAAAGGGCGUGGGUUCAAAUCCCACUCCCGUCG